GCCAAGGCCAUCAACGGGAACAUAUAACAAUACCGAGACUGAACAUAAGUUCCUGUAUGACUGAGUUCAAAUCAGUAAUCUCGAGAAACACAGAGAGGUGAAUCGACUUUGAAAAGCUUGACAGUUUCGUCAAAGAAAGACAGAAGUUAAGAUUGAUCAUGACAGUCACCCUAAAUUUUCAUUGGAAUGGAGUAAUGAAGGAGUAAAGAUUCAAGUGAAUACAAGCAACUUUCCUACAAAGAACUUUGUUUCUGCUUAUUUUGAACCCGACUACAAUCUCAACUACUACACAUUCCUCGCCCAUAUCCAUCCGGGAAUCCAUCUCUGCAUGAGAGGCAAAAUUUCGCUUCAGCAAAACCGACAGUGCCUCACUGUGCUUCAGAAGACUUUUACAGCAGUUAGCUAAUCUUCGCGACUAUAUAUUUACUGAGAUUUAAUACUAUCAAGGACUUGAGAUGCUGAAUCGCUUACCAGUAACUUAUUUUCAUUCGACAAAAGAACUCUUCACUUAUCGUUUGCCUGAGAGACAUUAUUUUCAC